rnacentral:rRNA from 1 species
AAUUGGAGGGCAAGUCUGGUGCCAGCAGCCGCGGUAAUUCCAGCUCCAAUAGCGUAUAUUAAAGUUGUUGCAGUUAAAAAGCUCGUAGUUGAAUUUCGGGAUUGACACAUCGGUCGUGCCUUAAGGGGUAUGAACUGGUGUAGUCAAUUUCUCACCUUCUGGAGAACCGCGAUGCCCUUAAUUGGGUGUCACGGGGAACCAGGACCUUUACUUUGAAAAAAUUAGAGUGCUUAAAGCAGGCAUUUUGCUUGAAUACAUUAGCAUGGAAUAAUAAAAUAGGACGGCAUGAUUCUAUUUUGUUGGUUUCUAGGAUCACCGUAAUGAUUAAUAGGGAUAGUUGGGGGCAUUAGUAUUCAAUUGUCAGAGGUGAAAUUCUUGGAUUUAUUGAAGACUAACUACUGCGAAAGCAUUUGCCAAGGAUGUUUUCAUUAAUCAAGAACGAAAGUUAGGGGAUCGAAGACGAUCAGAUACCGUCGUAGUCUUAACCAUAAACUAUGCCGACUAGGAAUCAGACGAUGUUAAUUUUUUAAUGACUCGUUUGGCACCUUACGGGAAACCAAAGUGU